UACAGAGGUCUCAAGCGUUGUUCGGAUUCAUUGGGCGUAAAGGGUGCGUAGGCGGUCUGUUGCGUCUGCUGUGAAAACUCGGGGCUUAACUCCGGGCCUGCAGUGGGUACGGGCAGACUAGAGUGCGGUAGGGGAGACUGGAAUUCCUGGUGUAGCGGUGAAAUGCGCAGAUAUCAGGAGGAACACCGGUGGCGAAGGCGGGUCUCUGGGCCGUAACUGACGCUGAGGAGCGAAAGCGUGGGGAGCGAACAGG
rnacentral:rRNA from 1 species